UCCUCUGCCGCCCCGCGUGCUCCCCCCUGGCCUGCUGAGGCCUCUGCUCAGGCCAGGAGUCCAGUUGCUGAUGUGCACAUCCCCCAGGGCCAACUGGUCCUGACUCGGGUUAGGAGGUUGCCCCCGCUUGGGACGGGGCCCCCAUGUGCUGAGGUGACCCCCCCCUCCAUACUCCCAGGAAUCUCCAUCCUCGAAGCUCCCCAGCUCCUGCCUCCCAGCAGGGGCCCACCUGCCUGUUGGGUCCCCUGUCCUCCCUCCCAGCUUCUCUGCCCCAUGUCACUUGGCCUCGACUUGAACCUGUCAGCACCUCCUCCUGCUCCCCAAUAAACUCCCCUUGGUCGCCUGAUUCUCUUUUUCUGUAGUGCUCCUGGGGAUACAUGGUUUUGAGCUCAGAUUGGUCUCUAGCCAUGACUGUUUCUAUGAA
rnacentral:lncRNA from 1 species